GACGAACGUUGGCGGCGUGCCUAAUACAUGCAAGUCAACUGAAAUACCGGUAGACAAUACUGGUAUGGAGGUGGCGCACGGGUGAGUAACACGUAGGUAAUCUGCCUUCAGGUCGUGACAUAAACCCAUCGAAAGGUGAGCUAAUAUCAGAUGAUGCAGCGGCUUGACAUCAAGACAGUUGUUAAAGCUUCGGCGCCUGAAGAUGAGCCUGCGUCUGAUUAGCUAGUUGGCGGGGUAACGCCACCAAGGCUGCGAUCAGUAGCUGGUCUGGAGAGGAUGAUCAGUCACACUGGAACUGAGACACGGUCCAGACU
rnacentral:rRNA from 1 species